rnacentral:miRNA from 2 species
CGCCACUUUGGGUACUUGAGGAG